UACAGAGGUCUCACGCGUUGUUCGGAUUCAUUGGGCGUAAAGGGUGCGUAGGUGGUCGGGUAAGUCAAAUGUGAAAUCCCGGAGCUCAACUCCGGAACUGCAUUCGAUACUGCUUGACUGGAGGAUUGGAGAGGAGACUGUAAUUCACGGUGUAGCAGUGAAAUGCGUAGAUAUCGUGAGGAACACCCGUGGCGAACGCGGGUCUCUGGACAAUUCCUGACACUGAGGCACGAAGGCCAGGGGAGCAAACGGG
rnacentral:rRNA from 1 species